rnacentral:lncRNA from 1 species
AGAGGCAGAGGUGUCAAACGGCAUGUGGAGGCGCGACAGACAGAGGCUAAGGUAGGGUGCGGCACCACUUGGGUAAAGAGGGCUAGGGUUUCUGUUAAGUGUUUAGGUUUUGGGCUGUUAGAGUUUUUAGUUUUUGGGGCUUGUAUUUGGGUCUGCUGUUUUUUUGUAAAUGGACUGGAUAUUUAGGAUUUUUUUUGUUUUAUUUAUUAUUUGUAUUUGGUCUUGGGCCCGGGCGAAAUUGGCCUAUUGCAGCUGCCCCUCUUUGCUCAUUGUCAUGUAACGAGAAUGGAGUAAAGACUUUAAAUAGGCCAAUUUUGCCUAGUCUUGCCGAAUCUUGACUUUAUGGUGCUU